AUUGAACGCUGGCGGCAUGCCUUACACAUGCAAGUCGAACGGCAGCGCGGGAGCAAUCCUGGCGGCGAGUGGCGAACGGGUGAGUAAUACAUCGGAACGUGCCCAAUCGUGGGGGAUAACGCAGCGAAAGACUGUGCUAAUACCGCAUACGAUCUACGGAUGAAAGCAGGGGAGUCGCAAGACCUUGCGCGAAUGGAGCGGCCGAUGGCAGAUUAGGUAGUUGGUGAGGUAAAGGCUCACCAAGCCUUCGAUCUGUAGCUGGUCUGAGAGGACGACCAGCCACACUGGGAC
rnacentral:rRNA from 1 species